GCGAGCGGCGGAUGGGUGAGUAACACGUGGGGAACCUGCCCCUAAGUCUGGGAUACCAUUUGGAAACAGGUGCUAAUACCGGAUAAUAAAGCAGAUCGCAUGAACAGCUUUUGAAAGGCGGCGUAAGCUGUCGCUAAGGGAUGGCCACGCGGUGCAUUAGCUAGUUGGUAAGGUAGCGGCUUACCAAGGCGACGAUGCAUAGCCGAGUUGAGAGACUGAUCGGCCACAUUGGGACUGAGACACGGCCCAAACUCCUACGGGAGGCAGCAGUAGGGAAUCUUCCACAAUGGACGCAAGUCUGAUGGAGCAACGCCGCGUGAGUGAAGAAGGUUUUCGGAUCGUAAAGCUCUGUUGUUGGUGAAGAAGGAUAGAGGUAGUAACUGGCCUUUAUUUGACGGUAAUCAACCAGAAAGUCACGGCUAACUACGUGCCAGCAGCCGCGGUAAUACGUAGGUGGCAAGCGUUGUCCGGAUUUAUUGGGCGUAAAGCGAGCGCAGGCGGAAAAAUAAGUCUAAUGUGAAAGCCCUCGGCUUAACCGAGGAACUGCAUCGGAAACUGUUUUUCUUGAGUGCAGAAGAGGAGAGUGGAACUCCAUGUGUAGCGGUGGAAUGCGUAGAUAUAUGGAAGAACACCAGUGGCGAAGGCGGCUCUCUGGUCUGCAACUGACGCUGAGGCUCGAAAGCAUGGGUAGCGAACAGGAUUAGAUACCCUGGUAGUCCAUGCCGUAAACGAUGAGUGCUAAGUGUUGGGAGGUUUCCGCCUCUCAGUGCUGCAGCUAACGCAUUAAGCACUCCGCCUGGGGAGUACGACCGCAAGGUUGAAACUCAAAGGAAAUUGACGGGGGCCCCGCACAAGCGGUGGAACCAUGUGGUUUAAUUUCGAAGCAAC
rnacentral:rRNA from 1 species